UAUGUUGAAUGUUAGAGGUUUCAGAUGCUGGAUCACCGGGUGUCCACAGGUAGGGUGUUGGGUGCUGGGCCACUGGAGCAUGGCAGGAUCAGUGCAUUGAAGAGCUGAGCAUAGACACAGGGGGACAAAAGGUCCUGAGUGUUGGAAAGGCCAGGAACUUGGUGAUUCACUGGAUGGGAUGAGACACUAGGUGGGAUGACUACUGGGCAUCAUGACCUCCUGCCCCGGGCCCAGGUCCCCUCCCACCCUGUGGGACUCACUUGUAGGUCCAGCAGUCGCUCAUGAGUGUGUACAUUUCAGGUGGACACUCUGGUGGGCACUCCAUCCGCUUGCCCUGCUCAAUGAAGGCCAUGACCUCGGGGCCCUUCAUCUUCUGCUCAAGCCAGAGCAAAGGGCAUGAACCUUGAAAAAUGCAAAACCAAGCCGUACAAAACAAGCCUGGCUGCAGUUUUCUGACCCUGCUUUAGGUCAAAGACAAUUGACCACUGACAAUUUCACAUGGGUUGUGAAUUGGCAGAGAGCUGGGGAAGCACCAGCGGCAGAACUUAAUACUUACAAAGCUCCUGUGACAGCGCCAGCCACUGUUAUGAGCACUUUAUAAAUAUCAACUCAUUUGAUCCUCA